rnacentral:rRNA from 1 species
AUAGUAGUGUCAGAGUUUGAUCCUGGCUCAGGAUGAACGCUAGCUAUAGGCUUAACACAUGCAAGUCGAGGGGCAGCAUGCGGUUUGCUUGCAAACCGUGAUGGCGACCGGCGCACGGGUGAGUAACACGUAUCCAACCUUCCGGUUACUCGGGGAUAGGCUUUCGAAAGAAAGAUUAAUACCCGAUGUUGCGUAUCUUUCUCCUGAAAGAUACGCCAAAGGAUUCCGGUAACCGAUGGGGAUGCGUUCCAUUAGGCAGUUGGCGGGGUAACGGCCCACCAAACCUUCGAUGGAUAGGGGUUCUGAGAGGAAGGUCCCCCACAUUGGAACUGAGACACGGUCCAA